AGCUCCAAUAGCGUAUAUUAAAGUUGUUGCAGUUAAAAAGCUCGUAGUUGGAUUUCUGGCUGGAGCGACCGGUCCGCUCCCUCAGGGAGUGCGCACUGACGUCGUCUCCGGCCAUCCUUGCGGAGAUUGUCUCCGGCAUUAACUUGUCGGUUUCAGGACCUGCAUCGUUUACUGUGAAAAAAUUAGAGUGUUUAAAGCAGGCGUUUGCUGUGAAUACAUUAGCAUGGAAUAAUAAGAUAGGACUUUGGUUGCUAUUUUGUUGGUUUGCGCACCAGGGUAAUGAUUAAUAGGGAUAGUUGGGGGUAUUCAUAUUCAAUUGUCAGAGGUGAAAUUCUUGGAUUUAUGGAAGAUGAACUUAUGCGAAAGCAUUUACCAAGGAUGUUU
rnacentral:rRNA from 1 species